CCACACAAAAUUUCAGUUCUGGCAAUCAGAGACAUUCAUGGACACUUGGAAAGCAAAAGUGAGCACUUUAAGAUGUUGGCUGCAUGAGAGGAGACUGGAUAUUCUAGGGCACCCGUGGAGUAGUCACCUGGAGUCAUAACUGUCAUAGUGUGGAACAAUGCUCUCAGACAGGGAGGAGAGAGUCAGCUUUCGUCCUGUGAGUCUGAGCCAAGAGAGAAUUUUAAUCAUCUCAGAGGAACCCAACCUGAGUAAUUCCUUGACGUCAUUCACGAAAUCUGUCCAUCUCUCAGAGUGACCAGCUUGGGCCUGAGCCACCACACUUUGCUCAUUCUCUGGCAGGCAAAGACAACUCUAAAAAUAUUCUCUAGAAGGGACUUCUGUGGGUUGGAUGUUGGCACCUCUGUUUCUCUGGCGUUUGGAGAAAGAAGCCUCUAGGCAUGUGGCCUGUGAUGGGGAGAGGGAAUCAGUGGAUUGCGUCUAAUUUGAGGGCUUUGCAUACUCUACCCCUCAGCCAGUCUUCUUAACUGGUUUGGCAGAAGAGAAAGCAGCGUAAAGAUAUACAUUUCUACUAUAAACUCUAGAAGGGCAGGGAAAUCAAGAAGCAAGGAUCCCAAACAAGCUCAGGGCUUUGAGCAAUUGAUUGUCUCUGUUAGUGGAGUUAUAGGAUGGGCUGAAAAUUGGAGCGAUUGCAAGACUUUAAAAGGAGUAGAUAGACCCAGGAAUCCUUUCUAUAUCCUCUGAAGUUAGAUGACUAUCCCUCCUGGGUCCCAGAAAAGACUGGAGAGUUACCAUAAUGAAUGGUAAAACUUUCAGCCUCCUUCCUUACUCAUUGGCUUAUACUCCACCCCAACCUCCCUCCCACUGGCCCGUGCAGGAGACUGGAGAACUUCUCUUAGGGACAACAAAAAGUCAAGGGAAAAGACUUAUAGCAAUUCAUAGUUUAGGAUACCCCCAACAAAAUGGCAAGGUUGCUUCCUAUCGGAUCACUCCAUAUUCAGACCCAUUGAUGGGCGACUCUCCCAUCCCCAUCUUCUGAUUAGCAUUUUAUUACUUCCCUCUUAAGUAUAAAUCAACAGUCAAGGAAAAAUGUCAGAAUAGCCUCUAAUAUGAGAAAAACAAAACAAAUAACCUACGUGUAACAGCUUUAGAGAGCUAGGAGGAGAUGUUGCACCCAUUAAAUAAAAACAGGGGGAUGUAAAAAGUAACAUUCAUAGAAUAAAAAAAGUUCUUGGAAAUAAAAAACAUGAUCAAGAAAUUAAAAAACAAUGUAAAAUUGAAAAAAAAACCUCCCAUAAAGUUGAACAACAACAACAACAAAAAACAAACACACCAACAAACGAACUCAGGAAAUCCAAGAGGAGGAAAUUAUCAAAGAAAUAAGGCAAGAAAAUUUCCCUGAAGUGAAGGACAU
rnacentral:lncRNA from 1 species